rnacentral:rRNA from 1 species
CACGCCGUAAACGAUGGAUACUAGCUGUUGGAGGUAUCGACCCCUUCAGUAGCGAAGCUAACGCGUUAAGUAUCCCGCCUGUGGAGUACGGCCGCAAGGCUAAAACAUAAAGGAAUUGACGGGGACCCGCACAAGCGGUGGAUCAUGUUCUUUAAUUCGAUGAUAAACGAAGAACCUUACCAGGGUUUGACAUCCCGAGAAUUACUCCGAAAGGAGUGAGUGCUUUAUUGAACUCGGUGACAGAUGU